GGCUGGUUCCCAUUUGCUGACAAGCCAGAGGAGCUGCGUUUCCUGGGGCACCGGGAGCAGAUGGCUCUUCCAGGAGAGCCGUUUGUCUGGGAGAGAAGAAGAAAUGCUGAUUAAUGCCAGUGGGAUCCCUAAAUACCCCCCAAAGCCAUAAAAGGUUGAUAGGAGGUUUGCAGUGGCAAAGGAGGAGCCCCCAGAGCAGAACCAAGUGAUUCAAACCCUCCAGAUUCAGCCUUACACUGGGCCCAGGUCGUUUCCUCCGGACACAGCCACACCCUGAUGGGGGAGUCGCCAGGGACCUGCUCUGUUUAAUGAGGAGGGAUUAAUUAACUGCGCGUUAUCCUAUAGAUUUGUUGGGUUUAGCUCUCAGCUCUGCCGCUGCAGGGUGCAAACUGUGUCUGGCUAGGCCCCCUCACACACGGGAGGGGUGCUACAAAACACGCUCGAUUUGAAGAGGAUGCUUCAAGAAGGUCCACGUGCUGGGGAUGGAGAAUCAUCUGGUGAGACUGGGGUCUGUGGAAUCACCAGGGGAAGGAGCCUGGCCACAGCUGUGGAGAGGAGGCUGCUCUCCGAGUCAAUCCAAGCCACAAUCUGUCAUCCCCAACUCUGUGUGUGACACAGAGCGCGGAGGGGGAGGACAGAGCUGGCGCAUGGCACCCCAAGCCCUGCCAUGUGUCACUUGCGCGGGUGUUACUUUCAUUUGAAUGCCUUAUCCUCAAGCAGAUGCAGUGGGUGAUGAUGUGGGGUUUGGAGCAGGAGCACUGUGAAAUGUCAGAACAUUCAACACGUGGCUUUGGGAGCCUGAUCCCACGGGAGGGGAGCUGGAGGCGAGCAGGGAGCGCUGCUGGGCCACUCCAGGAGUGCAGCUCCUGCCAGAAGUGCAGAGCCGAGGGAAAAGCAGAUUCCUCAGCCCUCAACUGCUGCAUGUGGAGCUGCUGCCUCCUGUCACAUUGCAUCUCUUGUGUCGGGCUCUGAUGUGACUGCAGAUGUCACAACGCAGCACAUCUCCCCAGCCUGCCGGGCUCUGUCUGCGGGGAGCAUGGAGCUCCAAGAGGCUGCUGAGGGAAGAGCUUUCAGCUGUGGAGCCACUUCUCAGAGGCUGUGGUAGUGCGGGGGUUCUCCUGUUCUUCCCUGGCUGAGAUGUGUGCGGGGUGUGUCACCUGUCCCAGGUGCUGUGUGGUGCCUCGGAGGCCUGGCUUGUCCCCCCCUCUCAGCCCCUCUCAGGCCCCUGAUCACCUCCCUGUGCCUUCGUGCACGCUCGUUGGUUUGGAAAGGUCUGCAGGUGUGAACCUCGGGUGUUAUUUCUGGAUGAACCCAUCUGCCAGGGUUUAUCCUUUCCAGAGCAAAGCUGCAGCGUGAGGAACCCCGCAGCUUUCCCUGCAGGGAGGCUGCUCCUGCUGCCCGAGGACCUGUCCCAGAUCUGUUGUUGUUCCUGUAAAUAAUGCACUCGGGCAAGUUUAUCCAGGGAAAAUGCUGAUCUGGCAGGAGAAGGGAGCCUCGCUGGCAGAAUGUGUUCAUGCUGCUGUGCACAGCUGCAGGAGACAUUGGCCUUGUCUGCCCACAGAAAUGUCCCCUCCUGAUGCCUGGGGUGGCUCGGGCUUAGCUGGGCUGGGCUUUGCACUGGUGAAAAAGGGAGAAACUGCAGCCCAAAAGGGUUUGGCCAAAGCUCUGCGGCACGGGGGGGUGUUGGGAUGGAUGAUCCUUGGGGGUCCCUUCCAGCUCAGGAGAUUCUGUGAUUCCAUGAUCUCUCACCUUCUGUUGUAUGAGUUUACGAUGUGCAUUCUCACCACGUUAAAUACUAAUUAAAUAGCUUUAAUUGUACUUGAAUGACA